CCCAUUUUAGGUAUAUAUUUCUCCCCAAUUAACAUUGACAUCAAUAUUAUGUAAAUGUCCCUUGGAUGCAUGCACGUCUUAUUUGAAUUAAUAUUAGUAAAUGUAAUUCAAAGGCAUAUCAAAUCAGGGUAAACUGGGCAAUGGUCCCUCAUGAAGUUAGACACCAACUCAAGAAACGCCUACUAAUAACUUUGUUUGACGAGUUUCCCCCUGAGUUGAGUUCUGGAAGCGACUCUCUAUCAAAGGCCUAGAUUUAAUAAACUUUCCAAAUGAUUUAAUACUAUUAGACUUUACAAAUUAUUUAUCUACAGUCACCAUUAAGUCACCAUUAACGUCUAUGGAUUUUUUUGAUAGUUUUCAUAACAGUAUCAAAUAAUUUGGAAAGAUUAUUAAAUAAGGCCAGUUACAGAAUGGGUCAGGGUAACUGGAAUCUGUUGUGAGAUUGGAAGAUUUACCUUGAACACAUCUCUGCAUUUUAUUGUCUGUGCAAAAAGUUUAACUAUGACGUAGUUAUGACACAGUGAAAAAAUGAAAUAAAGUUGUUUUUCCACCAGCUUGACAGUUCUUCAAUAGAAAAUAUUUUAAACUCCC